rnacentral:rRNA from 1 species
AUUGAACGCUGGCGGCAGGCCUAACACAUGCAAGUCGAACGAGUGGCGGACGGGUGAGAAAUGUCUGGGAAACUGCCUGAUGGAGGGGGUAAACUACUGGAAACGGUAGCUAAUACCGCAUACCAUCGGAUGUGCCCAGAUGGGAUGAGCUAGUAGGUGGGGUAAAGGCUCACCUAGGCGACGAUCCCUAGCUGGUCUGAGAGGAUGACCAGCCACACUGGAACUGAGACACGGUCCAGACUCCUACGGGAGGCAGCAGUGGGGAAUAUUGCCCAAUGGGCGAAAGCCUGAUGCAGCCAUGCCGCGUGUAUGAAGAAGGCCUUCGGGUUGUAAAGUACUUUCAGCGGGGAGGCGUUACCCGCAGAAGAAGCACCGGCUAACUCCGUGCCAGCAGCCGCGAUAAUAC